GACGAACGCUGGCGGCGUGCUUAACACAUGCAAGUCGAACGGAAAGGCCCUGCUUUUGUGGGGUGCUCGAGUGGCGAACGGGUGAGUAACACGUGAGUAACCUGCCCUUGACUUUGGGAUAACUUCAGGAAAAUGGGGCUAAUACCGGAUAGGAGCUCCUGCUGCAUGGUGGGGGUUGGAAAGUUUCGGCGGUGGGGGAUGGAAUAGCGGCUUAUCAGCUUGUUGGUGGGGUAGUGGCUUACCAAGGCUUUGACGGGUAGCCGGCCUGAGAGGGGGACCGGCGACAAUGGUACUAAGAUACGGACCAGACUGCUACGGGAGGCAGCAGUGGGGAAUCUUGCACAACGGGCCGAAGCCUGAUGCAGCAACGCCGGGUGCGGGAUGACGGCCUUCGGGGUGUAAACCGCUUUCGCCUGUGACGAAGCGUGAGUGACGGUAAUGGGUAAAGAAGCACCGGCUAACUACGUG
rnacentral:rRNA from 1 species